CAGGAAUGCUUCCCCAGGCUGAGGGAUUCUUCUCAUGAUUUGCCCUGGGGGAAGUGGAAGGGCAUACUAGAGUGCAGAGCAUUGGUGUAAGACUCCAGGAUACAAACAGAACAACUGGAAGAGGAGUGCAACAAUUCAACAAGGGCACAUAGGCAAAGACCAGGCCUCAGCAAAGCGAGAGCAGGGCAGCUAUGCUGGUUUCCAGACUU